CACCAGCCCCUCGAGUGGUGGGGAUGAUUAUUUGGCCUAAAGCGUCCGUAGCCGGCCGGGUAAGUUUCCCGUUAAAUCCAGCGUCUCAAGCGUUGGACUGCGGGAAAUACUGCCUGGCUAGAGAGUGGGAGAGGUCAGCGGUAUUCUGGGGGUAGGGGCGAAAUCCUUUGAUCCCCGGAGGACCACCAGUGGCGAAGGCUGCUGACUAGAACACGUCUGACGGUCAGGGACGAAAGCUGGGGUAGCGAACCGGAUUAGAUACCCGGGUAGUCCCAGCCGUAAACGAUGCAUGCUAGGUGUUGGGUUGGCCACGAGCCACCCCAGUGCCGCAGGGAAGCCGUUAAGCAUGCCGCCUGGGAAGUACGAUCGCAAGAUUGAAGCUUAAAGGAAUUGGGCGGGGAGCACCACCAGGCGUGAAGCCUGCGGUUU
rnacentral:rRNA from 1 species